rnacentral:lncRNA from 1 species
AAUUCAGACGGCUUGACCACGACAACCACAUCGAAAUUCUUGGGAACUCCGACCCCCAUAAAUGGCGGCAAAGAUCUUGAGAUAAUUCUUGAUCCCGAAAACUACUUGCUUCUCCGCUUCCACCACCUGUGAAAACGUGAGAAGUUUUCAGUCAUUUGCACUGUGUUUCUGCUUACUAUUGUAUGGUUCACGUAGUAAUUGCCCAGAUUUUGCACUUAUUGGUUUUCACAUUCUUCACCUUUGCCUCCCACAAUUCUUCCUAGGGUGUUAACUUGUGUUGCAACUAGGAAAAGAAGGAGAAGGAGAAAAACUGAAGUUUUGGCCAUUGUUAGAAAAUUAGGUAAGACCUGGGGUUGUGCUGGCGGGCGGCAACUGGGCGACGAGUGAUUGUGACUUUUGAGGGAGAGGAUUGGGGAAGAUGGAGGAUGAGACGAUUUUUUUUUGCC